UUUGGCUCUGUGCCUCUGCAUAUUUCUCCAACGCCACAGUGACCAUUUUGGUUCCGGUUUCCAGCCUCAUAUUUUUAUUCACUCUUUACUGUGUUCUCUA
rnacentral:rRNA from 1 species